ACAUUGGUGGUUCGGUGGUAGAAUUCUCACCUUCCAUGCUGAAGACUUGGGUUCCAUUCCCAACCAGUGCA
rnacentral:tRNA from 1 species